UUUCUUCUUUCGUCUCUGAUCUCCUUCUCCUCUCUCUGAUCUCCUUCUCCAUCUCUUUGUUCAUCAGAAACACCUCUGCAUAGUACAGUUGACGAAAUUAAUCGAUCUCAUCUUCCUAAAUCUCUCGGAAAAAUCUAAGUGAACAUUUUUUCCAAACAAUGUAAAACAAAAUAAGUUUUUGAUAAUCCUAUUUUUCUUGAUCUAAUAUUAGUCUAUUAACCAGAAUUAUAGAUCAAUUCUUCUGUAAUCCUAUUUAUAUGCUUAUUUUGAUUUGGGGGCAUUCUCUGUUCUUUUUUGAUUUUAUUGUUUUCUUAGAUUCUAUUAUGAAAGUAAACGAAAUUAAACAAGUAAUAUUUUAAGCUCACAGGUUAGGGAAAUCACUGUACACUCUAAGGUUAUUUUGCAGUGGCUGAUCAUCUAAGCAGCAGAUGUGUGGAACGUACGAUAUCAGGGGACGGUUAUCUAUAUAUGUGUGGUGAUGCUAAAGGACUGGCGAGAGAUGUCCAUUACACGUUGCCCAAGAAUAGGCCUGAGGAUCCAUACCAGGAAGAGAAGGACCAGUCCUAAUUGAAUUGUGUUAGUGUUUGUAUGUCUAAUUUGCGGUGCUCAUAGAGGCAUAUGUGACUAGAGAUGUAAAUACUAACCCAAUUUCAGUUGAAAAGAACUAAAUAAAUACAUAUGACCGGCAAUAUGUUGUAAAGGUGGAUUACUCCGUUUGGAAAAACGGGCUUAGGUUUCAUGGAUAAUGGAGGAAUGGCUCGCCGACUGCAGUUUCUCAGUUAAGUUUAUCGACAGGAAGAAGAAGAUACAACCUAUGUGCAGUUUUCUCUUGCAUUUGGCUAUCAUUUCUGAGAAGUUUUACUCCCCAAGUCAGAGCUUCAAAGAGGUUGUCGUAUUCUGCUGCUGACCCGGGUAAUAUUGUGAACGGAAACCCAAAUUAUCUGCCAUCGACUGUGCAAUCAGCGACGAAGGCCAAGUCAUUAAAGGUAUACAAAAAAUUUGCAAGUGGUUGAGUAAGAAAGGUAAGAUGAUUUUUGUGAGAAGUUGUAAGAUGGGAUUUCUUAAUCAAACUGCUUGCCUGAUGGCAGUUGUUAAGGUGUUUUUCUCACUGAUAUGUUAUCUGUGGUGGCGAAUGGUGAUCUCUUUUAAGUUUCCACAAGCGACAACAGAAGGAAUUUGAGACCCUGUAUGGGACAUAGCUAUGUAUGCGAGAUAUUAACUAAAAUUAGAUUUGACUAAUGAUUAGUGUCUAAUUGGCUUAUGAGGUGUGUUUCUCACUGAUAUGUUAUCUCUGGUGGUUGAAUGGUGAAUUCUCUUUUAAGUUUCCACAAGGAAUUGGAUACCCUGUAUGGGACAUAGCUAUGUAUGCGAGAUAUUAACUAUGUAUGGGACAUAGCUAUGUAUGCGAGAUAUUAACUAAAAUUUCAAAUGCA